rnacentral:sRNA from 1 species
AUAUCUCUCUGUACGGGAAGGAUGAGAAGCUUCGACUAAGGUUCGAUUCGAGCGCAGCGAGAAAGCGUUGCCUGCG